rnacentral:misc_RNA from 1 species
CAGAGUACCGAGGUCCCUGACCUCUACUCCCACCCUAUGUUGACUUGCAACGUUGCUUUGGCGGGCCGGUGGGUCCCCCACCGCCGGGCUGCGCCUGGAGAGCGCCCGCCAGAGGACCACACAGAAACUCUUGUCAACCACAGACAUCUGAGUACCUUAGAAUUGAACA